rnacentral:rRNA from 1 species
UACAGAGGGUGCGAGCGUUAAUCGGAAUUACUGGGCGUAAAGCGUGCGUAGGCGGCGGGGUAAGUCUGGUGUGAAAUCUCGGAGCUCAACUCCGAAAUUGCACUGGAUACUGCUCUGCUAGAGGGCUGGAGAGGAGAUCGGAAUUCACGGUGUAGCAGUGAAAUGCGUAGAUAUCGUGAGGAAGACCAGUGGCGAAGGCGGAUCUCUGGACAGCUCCUGACGCUGAGGCGCGAAGGCUAGGGGAGCAAACGGG